CUCUAUCUAACGGUACUUUCAAAAAGAAUUUUCGAUGCACGAAUCCCGAGGCACCCAGUUUUGUGUGUUUUGGGCAAUUAAUGAGGGAAUAACCCAUGUGGGGCCCACAUGUGACACAAGAAGGUAAAAAGUCCAGAUUUUCUUCCCUUCUACUUCUUCCCCACGUUCUUCUUUCCUCCCCCUCUCUUCUUCUUUGUGUGCAAGUCUAUCAAAAAUGGUACAAUGCUUGGUUGGAGGUAUGGCCACAAAAGAGUGUAUGUGUUCCUCUUCUAGUAUAAAUAAGAGCUCUUAGAAGCCAUUAAAGUCACCAAUUCACAGCCACUUCUCUCAAGUUCUCUCUCUCCUUAUUUCUCUCUAUUCCUAUUGAUUUCUUGAUCAUCACCCUUAACCACCACAACCCCAUCAUAUACCACCACCUCUUAUGCCGUUGAUACUGCCGCUGAAACUAAAUAAAUCUCGACGAUUCGUAUUCACGGCAAUAUAUCUCGCUUUUUCUCGCAACAAUUACUCGACAACUACACAUUAAGACAGGCUUUCAGGAAGAAGAUUACUUGUGGAUUGUAGACGACCUAGCUAGCUUGUUCCUAUUAUUUGCUUAUCUGUUAAAGGCAACUACUGUACUAUUAUUAUCUGUAAGAACCAUG